rnacentral:rRNA from 1 species
AGUGAACGCUGGCGGUAGGCCUAACACAUGCAAGUCGAACGGCAGCACAGUAAGAGCUUGCUCUUACGGGUGGCGAGUGGCGGACGGGUGAGGAAUACAUCGGAAUCUACUUUUUCGUGGGGGAUAACGUAGGGAAACUUACGCUAAUACCGCAUACGACCUACGGGUGAAAGCAGGGGAUCUUCGGACCUUGCGCGAUUGAAUGAGCCGAUGUCGGAUUAGCUAGUUGGCGGGGUAAAGGCCCACCAAGGCGACGAUCCGUAGCUGGUCUGAGAGGAUGAUCAGCCACCCUGGAUCUGAGACACGGUCCAGACUCCUACGGGUGGCAGCAGUGGGGAAUAUUGGACACUGGGCGCAUGCCUGCUCCAGCCCUACCGCGUCGGUGAAGAAGGCCUUCGGGUUGUAAAGCCCUUUUGUUGGGAAAGAUGAGCAGCAGGUUAAUACCCCACUGCUCUGACGGUACCCAAAGAAUAAGCACCGGCUAACUUCGUG